CUACGGGCGGCAGCAGUGGGGAAUAUUGCACAAUGGGGGAAACCCUGAUGCAGCAACACCGCGUGGAGGAUGACACUUUUCGGAGCGUAAACUCCUUUUAUAUAGGAAGAUAAUGACGGUACUAUAUGAAUAAGCACCGGCUAACUCCGUGCCAGCAGCCGCGGUAAUAGCGGAGGGUGCAAGCGUUACUCGGAAUCACUGGGCGUAAAGAGCGUGUAGGCGGGUUAAUAAGUCAGAAGUGAAAUCCAAUGGCUCAACCAUUGAACUGCUUUUGAAACUGUUAACCUAGAAUAUGGGAGAGGUAGAUGGAAUUUCUGGUGUAGGGGUAAAAUCCGUAGAGAUCAGAAGGAAUACCGAUUGCGAAGGCGAUCUACUGGAACAUUAUUGACGCUGAGACGCGAAAGCGUGGGGAGCAAACAGGAUUAGAUACCCUUGUAGUC
rnacentral:rRNA from 1 species